UACGUAGGGCGCAAGCGUUGUCCGGAUUCACUGGGUGUAAAGGGUGCGUAGGCGGGAAGGUAAGUCCGCGGUGAAAUCUCACAGCUCAACUGUGAAACUGCCGUUGAUACUGCUUUUCUUGAGUUCGGGAGAGGUUGAUGGAAUUCCAGGUGUAGCGGUGAAAUGCGUAGAUAUCUGGAAGAACACCAGUGGCGAAGGCGGUCAACUGGCCCGUAACUGACGCUGAGGCACGAAAGCGUGGGGGAGCAAACAGG
rnacentral:rRNA from 1 species